UUCCCUUCCCCAGCAUCAAGGACCGAGGGUAACCCUACCCAAGGAGGAAGAGGAAAGUUGUGAUGACUACAUUCUCACCUCUCCUUGGGAUUGAUACAGGACAGCACCAGCCAUGGGUCAGAACUCUGCUUGGCAUAGAGGUUUUUUGGAGGGCAUUGCGAGGAGUUUGGGAAUCAAAGGGCUGUUUGAAUUCUGAGCAUCACUUCUGGUGGAAAGGCUUUGCAAUGGUUUGUAAAUAUCUGCUUCCGGCGUUUGGAUUCAGAAUCUUCACUGGAGGAGAAAUUUGGUCAGUCUUUUAAUUGUUUGCUCAGGAGAUUUGGCUGAGACACUGCCAUUCUCCUCAGGCUCUGGAGAAUCCAGGUGAUGGACACACGUGCAUUUUGAGGCCUCAUUAUAGAGACUGAGAAACUAUCCCUGCGAGGGCAGAAUGGAAUGUGACUGUAUGUAGUUGCCAAAGUACAAAAGCAUAAUUGUUUUAUCAAAAAUCUCUCAUUGAAAUACAUGUAAGAGCAGCAUA